rfam:Pseudallescheria apiosperma strain IHEM 14462 SEQ_SAPIO_0165, whole genome shotgun sequence.
GGCCUUGUGGCCUAAUGGUAAGGCGUUAGAUUUCGGCUCUAAAGAUUGUGGGUUCGAAUCCUACCGGGGUCG